UCAAACUGAUCGGAAUAGUUAAGCAGUUGCGUCAACUAAAUUGUAGAUUAUUAUAUUGAAGCUUUACUCGCCUAAACGCAGAUUCAGAUACGCGACCACAGAAACAUAUAAGCUAACGAACUUCACUUAAUUUUGAACCUUCUUCAGCAAAUUUAUUGACAAAAAACGAUUGAAGAUAUUAUCUGAUACGAACCCCCCUGAAAGCCAAUAGUCGUGUGAUGUACCGGUUCACUUUGGAGGGGUAUGCAUAUGGCAUCUCAAAACCACUCGACAUUGGCUGGGUGGGGUAUCUUUAUACAAGUCAACCUGAGCCAAUUCAGGAUGCAUGCAUAGAUAGAAACGACAUUGAUGGUAUGAAAGUGGGAACAUCAAUAGGAGCAGAUGGCAAUUUGGUUCUAUGGUUUGGACCGAUAAACCGAUACUGCAAUGCAUUCGUUCUCUACUAUCAGGGACAUUGUCAAAAUGCCAUGGAAGGGACAAAAACCAGCGAGUA